CCCCUGUCACUCUCUCUAUAUAUCUCAUUGUACAGGAGACGUCUUCUACUUUGUAUCUGACACUCCACAAACAUCAAGAUGCUUUCUCACAGUUAUCUGCUGGCCAUCAUCUUCAUUUCUAUUCAGGGAUCCUGUGGACAGAUUGUGAUGACUCAGACUCCGGAUUCUAUAUCUGUGUCCCCGGGACAGACAGUCACCAUCACAUGUACAUCCAGUUCUGGAACGGGGAAUGCUAUUGGCUGGUACCAACAGAAAUCAGGAAAGUCUCCAACACUUCUCAUAUAUAGUGCAACCACCCGACAUACAGGAGUCCCAGACCGGUUCACUGGCAGCAGUGCUGGAUCUCCUUAUACUCAUUACACUCUAACAAUUACUGCCGUGACUGAAGAUGAUGAAGGAAGAUAUUACUGUCAGCAGUAUAAUCAGAACCCUCUCACACAGUGA